AGAUUAGUUGAGGUGGAUGCAUGGAUGCUGAUGUCAGCUGAUGUCAUGUCCCGAAGAUUUCUAGUAGGGCUUGACAGCUGGUGAUGGAGAUGAAUUUGAAGGCGAUAAGAGUGGACAGCAUAGGCAGAGUUUUGGACAGUGGACAAAACGGACUUCGCAGCCACAGAACAACAUGAGUCACUUCUCUUCUGCUUCUGCUACAACGUCAUCUUCUUCUUCUGCUUCUACUGCUGCUGCUGCUUCUUUGCUGAGAAAUCCACACUUUUGGACGUUUGUAGCUGAUUGCUGAUCAUUGCAGUAAUAAGGUGUUACAUCUGUGAGUUCACUUAGAUUAUGAUGAUUCUCUUUUUCUUCUUCUUCUUCUUCUUCAACUACUACUUCUUCUUACUAACAAAUUUUGUAUUGAUAUAGGGUGAUUGUUUGUUGCAUUGUUAUUGCCAAUAUUAGUUUCAUGUAGUAGACUAUAAUAAUAUGAAAUCUGUUACAUGACAUCCAAAAAUUUGGAGGAUUCAGAGCAAGAUUUUUUUUCUCUUAUUCAUGAAAUGGAGGUGCAAUAUUCAAGCAUAGACAUUUAGUAAUAGAAAAAAGUCGGUGGAGUUAUGCAGAGCUCGAGGUACUUUUAGACAUGUAUACAAUUGUAGAUUAAUUUGUAUGAGAUUCAAGGGUGAUUUUAUAGAUUGGAAUCUAAUAUAUUGUUGUUUAUAGAAAAUGAUUGAAUAAGGAGAUUGAUCAUACUUGUGAUUUUGACAUGUAUCUCAUGCAAAUGCAUUUUAUAUUUGUAUACAAGUCUUGACGUACCUUGAAAUGUAUAAUUGGAGAAGUGGAGCUGUGCAUGUAUACUAAGGUAGGUGAUCACCUCAUCGUGGAACACAUGCCGCCGAUUUUCCAGAUCUCCGAAUCACCGCCACCUGUCUAUUUAUUUAUUAUUCAUUUACAAUAUUACAACAGAACAAUCUACACUAUUGGACCAGAGAUCCAUAGACAUUAGACAAAGUUUUAUGCAGGAGAAUAUUUUAGACAGAUAGUUGAGACCUUAACACGAGUGUACAAAUUUGCAAAAUGAUUAUAGUGAGGUCCCCGUUUUAAUGGCAGUAUUUGAUUAACAUUGGUGUUGCUAUCCUUGUCUAUCAUUCGACAAAGCAGAUAGCGCCAUCCUUUUCUAGCUCUGCAACGUUGCCAGAUCGUUCUUAACAAUGUAUAAAUAUAAUUAAUUACUAAAUAUUUAUUUUAAUUAUGAAAAUUCAUUAUUUGAUCACUGAAAAAUAUAUUGACAAUGAAAUAUAAUUAUUGUAAUCAAGAUAGUUGAUAUAACAUCAGAUAUACUAGUAUCAGCUAUUCUUUAUAGAAGGCAGUGGCAAGGCAGAGAAUUGGCAACGCUGUUCCUCCUAUCUUUCUUCACUACCAUAAUAGCGUAGACCUCACUGUAGUAAAAUUAACGAGUACCUCUCUACAAAAGCAAGAUUUAGUCGAGUAUCCAGGCUGUUACAAGUUGCAAAUUUAUUCUUUUACUUUUAUUUUAAUACAUUUCAAAUCUUGUAUUCGUUGAAAAGAAUUUAUGUUUGAUUAGAGUUUUAGAGAAAUUGCUUGGUGAUGAUGUAAAAUGUUUCGAUCGUUUGGCUGAAAAGUAGUCUCAGAAGCAGAAAUGUUUUGGUAUUUGCUAAAACCGUAAUUUCAGAAAAUGAGUUCAAUUAUUGCUUCAAUUGAAUAUUUUUGAAACUUAUCAAUUACCUGGUUACAGUAUUUUUGAAUGAUUUUAGUGCCUUUAGCUGUGGAGGUGUUGAACUAUUUCAAUAAUUUAAAAUUUGUUAAAUUCGUGGAUGGUUUAUUCAAGUUUGGCUCUGUUGAGAAAGCAGUACCUCUCAGGCUACAGUAAUGUGUUUCAAAUUGAUUCGAAUACAGUAAAAGUGUUACAAUUUCCAUUCAAGUGUUUUUUGUAGCAUUUUUGCUGUAAAUUCCUUUAUCCUUGAAUCGGUUGGUGUGAGAGAAUAAUAAAUUAUUUUUGAUUUGGUUGUUUUGCAAUCAUUUUUUCCUUCAUUAUGAAUCAGUUUUGAAACACAUCACUGCUUAUUCGAAAAUGAUGUAAAUUGAGUGUUUUAUUCAAUGCUUUGAGUUGUCACAAUACCAGUGGUAUUGUCUCUUCAACACAAACAUUAUUAAUUGACCAUUAGUUGAAUGGUUAAUGAGAGAUUCAACUUGAUGAGUCAACAGUAAUGCGUAUCAAAUUAAUUCCAAUACAGUAAAAGUGUUCCAAUCAUUUACAUUCUAAUAAUACUGUAGAGUGAAUAUUGUAGUAUUUUUACUGUAUUUCCUUUAUCCUUGAAUCGGUUGGUGUGAGACAAUAAUAAA